AUGCCUCCAAUGGUAGAGAUGAAAGUGAAAGAUGCCGCAAUAAAAUUGGGAUCUACAAUUUCAGUGGAAAUAAUAGACACCAAUGAUGGUAGAGGCUGGUUGGGUUAUAUUAACUACAAAAUCCUUGAUUUGGAAAAGUACCAAAUCCAGCUACAGGACCAAAAUUGUAGAAUGUUUCAACUUACAGGUAACUGUGGCAUUGCCUAAUUGCUCACAUUACUUUUCAGAAUAAAAUGUAUGAACAUCCUAUGAUGAUACUGCUUCAUCUUUUUUGAAUAAAUAGAUAUCCUAUGUGUACACACCUAUAUAUCCUAUAUAUCUUAUACAUGCAUUGAACGUGUGUGUGUGAGAUUAGAUAGAUAUAUAGACAGACAGAUAGAUAGAUGAUAGAUGGAUAGAGAAAUAGAGAGAUAGACUAGAUAGUAGAUAGGUAGAUAGACAGAUAGAUGAUAGAUAAAUGGAUAGAUAGAUAGAUAGCUACAUGAAUACACAUAUACAUAGAUAGAUGAUUAUGUUGCCUAUAGACACCUUGUGACAUUCAUCUUAUAACUCAGGAAUUUCACAUUUUCUUCCUUUGUCUGUCGUAGAUGCCAAAGUUAAAUAAACCUUUAACAAAAUAUAGUAAGAGAAUCUCAGCAUUUUGGAGCAAAACUCUCACCCAUUUUCCUGAAAUAUCUUCUCCAUUAGAAAAACAGUCUCUGAUUUACUCUUGAGUUCUGGUGGAUAUUUACUAUUAAUAUUUGUCCAUGGGCACCAAGAACCUAUCCUACCUGAGAUGGCUGUUCUGUUGUGAGAACAACAAAAAUAUAACUGAACAUUAACAGCAGUAUUCUACUCUUAAUGGACAUACAAAUAUAAGAAAAGGACUGAGAAAAUUUCAGAAAAACAAUUAAAUCACUUUAGCAAAUGGAUAAGGCUCUCAUGGAACUGAACAAUGUUUUUAAACCAAUCUCAAUAAGCCUGCCUAGAACAAAAUACAGGGUUACAGUCCCACUCAGGAGUGUCUCUUAAAAAAUCUUUAAGCAAAAUCCUUCUAAUGGGCAGAAUAUCAAGCAGGACAUCUAAAUAACUGUACUUUUUGGGAGGGGGAGGAGCAGAGAAUGGCCUGUGUUACAGCUCUACAGAAUCACAGGUAGUACCUAAUGAACUGACUAGUUUUUAAGGAUAUGGAAAUAAUCUCAGUGAAAAGUUAAUGGAAAGAAUAUUUGAGGUAGACCUAUGUGGGUUUACCUUUUGUAAUUGGCAGAAAUCACUUAGAAGGCAUGCACUCUAGGAACUGCCUCGGCAAUAAAGUGGAUUGAAUAAGUAGUCCUAUGGAACUCAGUCUUUUCCUUCAGACCUCCAGAACUUGAUCGUAAAGUUUAUUUUUAAAAAGGAGCAAUGCUGUCUGAGACAGAGACUAUAUAUAAGUUUAUGACGUGGACUUUAUCCCACCAAGGCUGAUCUGGCUACUACAGCUGCUACACGCUCAAAAUGUUAAUAGCAGAUGUCAACCUGAACCCUCCUCAGCAUGGCAUCAUUCCCUAAGAUUCUAGCCAGACACAGGUACAUCACGUACAUCACCUUUCAUCAUACAGCAUGCAUUCUUUAUUUCAUAGUACAUAUGCUUAAAAAAAACACACAGAAUUUUCCACAUCUUCUCUUUGUUAUUUCUGGUGGCAUCAAAAUCUGUGAACAUGAAGGACCCAUAAUCAAAUUAUGAUAUUAAUCUCAACAUUGAGUAUGAAUAGGAAAUAUAUUCACAGCGAAGGAAAUGCAACACAUUCUAAUGUCUGUGAAAUGUGCUGAUUUUAUAAAAUUCCCCAUUAUCUAAUGAAGAUCCUGAAGUUCUUACCUACGAGAAAAAAUUGAUUUUGUGGUCUUAAAAAUGCAGUAUGUGUUUUAAAUUAGAAUCUGAUAGCUGACAUUUUCCAUAUUUUAGUUUAAGUACAUGGGUGUAGAAUUCAAGAAAUUUAAAAAGGGAAUGGAUUCUCUCAAAAGUAUGCACUAAUAUUUUUGAAAGACUACUUUUUUUUUAUUAUUGUAACCUAGAGGCAAUUUGAAGGUUGUCAAUCACAACAGAGGAAUAUGGGAUCCAAAUAUGGGAAUAUAGAAUUCGUAUUACCUAGGGAUUUGGCCACAGUUUACUUAGAUUGGAAGCUGAGAGCGCUGCUUGAUUAUUCUGAACUAUUGUGUUUUGGAUUUUGGCCAGAGAAAGUAUUACUCUCCUGGCUGUGGUUAUUGAUCCAAAAUACCAAAGAUAAACUAGGAUGCUAAAAUAUGUUGAGUAUAGUCUAAAUUAUAUCUAAUAUCUGCAUUUUACAAUAACAUAUCUUAAUACCUUGGUAUUCAGUAAUAAAAAUCAGUGAAAAGUAAUGGCAAAUCAUUAAGACAAAACAUAUUAUUACAUUGAUUUGAAAAUGAUGAAAUUCGGGAUAAUUCUACCAGCUAAAGAACUUUGACCAGAGGAAGUGCUGCCAGAGAAUAAGGGACACAUGCAAUAUUUACAAACAAAAUAAGUUAAACAACCAACUUCAGUCUCCUGGUUAACUCUAAGGGAUGAUCUUAUAAGAGCUGUGCAAAAGCACUCUCGCUGAUGUGACCUGGUGUCUGCUUUGUGAGGGAUGAGAUUUUCCACAUUUGACUCAUCUGAAUAGUUUUGUUAACAGCUGUCAGGGAAAGUUGAUUCUCUCUCUCUCUCUCUCUCUCUCUCUCUCUCUCUCUCUCUCUCUCUGUGUGUGUGUGUGUGUGUGUAUCCACGUAUAUCCUGCAGUUACACUGACUAAUACAGUUUGCAUUGCCCAGAAACUUUUGCCAGCUGGUCUUCUAAUGAUAUUCAGAUAAGGAGAGAUAACUGCAGAACAUCAAAGAGAAGGAGGAGAGAAAGCAGCUCCUAUCUUACCUGAUCUUUCUCUACCUUGGCCUCACCUUGUUUUCAGUGGCUGUGUCUCUCUGCAACCCCAUCUCUUACCAUGCUAUCUUGUUUGCACAGUUCCAUUUCUUAAGGAACUCUAAAAUGUCACUUCUUUUACUUUUCCUUUCCAACCUAGGGUUAAUGGAGAGUUUCUUCUCUUGAUAAGUCAUAGUUCCUAGUUUAUUUUCUUAGCUCUGUCAACAUUACUGGGAAUAGUAACACCCUAAAGCUGAAUUAUUAUGGGGAUACACCUGUGAAUAAAAUAAAACUCCUAAGCUUUCAAGCAAAACAAAACAAACUCACCAGAAAGGAGACCCCAGGCAGAUUCAGUGGUUUUGGCAAGGCAGGAAAUUAGUCACACCUCAUUGCUCCCCUUCCCUAUAACUGUCACAGGACUUUAUGUUCUAAUAAUUCAACAGACACCAGUUCCUGAAAAAAAAAAAAUGAUUGAAAGAUUUUUCCACCAAUGCGGACAGACUGUCUAACGUCAUGACUAGACCUUCCCUUACUGUGGCUUCUCUAGGACAGCUGACUGGACUUACAAAACAUUCUUUCCUAAGCAAUAAAGACUGACCACAGACUGGUUCUGACCAGCCCACGAUGACUGUGCACAAGGUGCUUUUAUGCCCUCUGAUUGACUUUUUGAUGUAAAGACACAAGUUUCAGUUCAUGUUAAUGUUAAGUUCCCGUGCCAAAGUAGGCAUGGGAUGAACAUACAUAUUUGUUUGCCAUGCAUGUGUUUGGUCUUCUUCAUUAAUAUUCCUAGGAUUAUCAUAUAUCCUACUGAAUAUGUAUGCAUAACUGGUUGGGUCCUCUUAGGCAUAAAGCCCAGCCUCUAUUUUUUAUCUCUGAAUCAUAUGCUUUUGGUAUUACCUGGAGACUCUGUUUCCUAACCUGCAGAUUGUAACCCUUUGUAACAAAUAAUUCUCUCCUUUUUCUUCUUCCACGUAUCUCAUGGUGUUUGGUUAACACACUUCCCUGAAGUUCCUAAGCACCUAUCUAGCUCCUAAGCUGACAAUUUCAAUACAAUCCAGUAAACUGUUAUUAUCCCUGCAUAUAUUUUAAAAAGUCAAUUGACUGGAAUAAUUGAGAGGGGAAAAGAGACAACCAAGUCUGACUCUUUAGGAUUGAAUUUAAGCCAAGUGUUGAGAGUAUUACUAUUUGGAAAUGAACAUAUUAUUCCCUUUGUCCAAAAAUCAUGGUACAAGGGCUUUGAAAAGAUAGUUUUAUGUAGACUAUUUCCACUAAAAAUACAUGCUGCACAGAAUUCCAUUUGAGUUUGCCUUCUCCCCUUCUUCUCAAAUGCCAGGCUUCAAAAAUAAAUGCAGUAUUAUACCUAUCUUUCAAGUUUGGACACUAAAUAAAAUAAUUGUCUCAGAUAGCCCAGAAACAAGCUUAAGGCACUUAUUCAAAU
rnacentral:lncRNA from 1 species